rnacentral:rRNA from 1 species
UACGUAGGGGGCAAGCGUUGUCCGGAUUUAUUGGGCGUAAAGAGCGUGUAGGCGGCCAGGUAGGUCUGCUGUGAAAACUCGAGGCUCAACCUCGAGACGUCGGCGGAAACCAUCUGGCUCGAGUCCGGAAGAGGAGAGUGGAAUUCCUGGUGUAGCGGUGAAAUGCGCAGAUAUCAGGAAGAACACCCGUGGCGAAGGCGGCUCUCUGGGACGGUACUGACGCUGAGACGCGAAAGCGUGGGGAGCGAACAGG